rnacentral:rRNA from 1 species
CCUACGGGUGGCAGCAGUGGGGAAUAUUGCUCAAUGGGGGAAACCCUGAUGCAGCAACGCCGCGUGGAGGAUGAAGGUUUUCGGAUUGUAAACUCCUUUUGUUAGGGAAGAAAAUGACGGUAUCUAACGAAUAAGCACCGGCUAACUCCGUGCCAGCAGCCGCGGUAAUACGGAGGGUGCAAGCGUUACUCGGAAUUACUGGGCGUAAAGGGCGCGUAGGCGGGAUAGCAAGUCAGAUGUGAAAUGCUAUGGCUUAACCAGAGAACUGCAUUUGAAACUGUUAUUCUAGAGUGUGGGAGAGGUAGGUGGAAUUCUUGGUGUAGGGGUAAAAUGCGUAGAGAUCAAGAGGAAUACUCAUGGCGAAGGCGACCUGCUAGAACAUAACUGACGCUGAGGCGCGAAAGCGUGGGGAGCAAACAGGAUUAGAUACCCCAGUAGUC